AUAAUAUAAAACUCACCUGAUACUUACCUGUGCGUCCACAGCACCAAUUCACAUAUAUAUAUGCAUCAUACAUCAAUUCAUGCUUUUCAUAUACUUCUAUGCAUGGCAUUUCAAAUCAUACUUUUCAUAUAAAUCUAUCCAUUGCAUUUUAAAUCAUACUUUCAUUUAAAUUCAAUUUCUGGGAAAACUCAAUAGUAUAUAGGUAAUACGAAAACAAAACUGCCCACUCA
rnacentral:lncRNA from 1 species